UGUGAAGGAACUUUACGGAGGGAAAACACAAUGACUGAGUGGCGGACGGGUGAGUAACGCGUAGGGAACCUGGCCCUUACAGGGGGAUAACAGAUGGAAACAACUGCUAAUACCGCAUAAGCGCCCAGCCUCGCAUGAGGCAUAGUGAAAAACUAAGGUGGUAAGGGAUGGCCCUGCGUCCGAUUAGCUAGUUGGUAUGGUAACGGCAUACCAAGGCGACGAUCGGUAGCCGGCCUGAGAGGGUGGACGGCCACAUUGGGACUGAGACACGGCCCAAACUCCUACGGGAGGCAGCAGUGGGGGAUAUUGCACAAUGGGGGAAACCCUGAUGCAGCGACACCGCGUGGGUGAAGAAACGCUUCGGCGUGUAAAGCCCUAUCAGUGGGGAAGAAAAAGGACGGUACCCAAAGAAGAAGCACCGGCUAAAUACGUGCCAGCAGCCGCGGUAAUACGUAUGGUGCAAGCGUUAUCCGGAAUGACUGGGUGUAAAGGGAGCGUAGACGGUUGUACAAGUCUGAUGUGAAAGCCCACGGCUCAACUGUGGGAGUGCAUUGGAAACUGUAGAACUAGAGUAUCGGAGAGGCAAGUGGAAUUCCUAGUGUAGCGGUGAAAUGCGUAGAUAUUAUGAGGAACACCAGUGGCGAAGGCGGCUUGCUGGACGAAAACUGACGUUGAGGCUCGAAAGCGUGGGGAGCAAACAGGAUUAGAUACCCUGGUAGUCCACGCUGUAAACGAUGAAUACUAUGUGUUGGGGCCCGA
rnacentral:rRNA from 1 species